rfam:Anncaliia algerae PRA109 cont4.161, whole genome shotgun sequence.
GUCAAUGUGGCCGAGUGGUUAAGGCGACUGAUUCGAAAUCAGUUGGGCAUGUCCUUCGCAGGUUCGAAUCCUGUCUUUGACG